GUGGAUAUAGCUCAGUAGUAGAUUACGUGCUUAGCACACACAAGGUUCUGGGUUCAAUCCCCAGUACCUCCA
rnacentral:tRNA from 1 species